UGAGUCGACCAGGCGGCCGCGUGCGGGCCCUCAGCAGCCCGCCCGAGGAACGUCCGGGCUCCACAGGGCACGGUGGUGGGUAACGCCCACCCGGGGUGACCCGCGGGAAAGUGCCACAGAAAGUAGACCGCCGCGCGCAUGCGCGGUAAGGGUGAAAGGGUGGUGUAAGAGACCACCAGCGUCCCAGGUGACUGGGGCGGCUAGGUAAACCCCACCGGGAGCAAGACCAGACAGGGUGCGCUCGAGGGCUGCUCGCCCGAGCAUCCGGGUAGGUCGCUAGAGGGUGUCGGCAACGGCAACCGUAGAUGGAUGGCCGUCCCCCGGCGGUUGGCAACGACUGCCGGGAACAGAACCCGGCGUAUCGGUCGACUCGUCCG
rnacentral:RNase_P_RNA from 1 species